rnacentral:lncRNA from 10 species
GUCAGCAUUGCAAGUAAGCGUCAACAUAAAAUGAAUCAUUCCCAGCAAGCAUCUGGAUUAUUUCCAAGUGUCUUGUAAUGCUUUACAGAACACUGUCUAGUAGUAAAAUGCCAGCAUUAUCAUACGGCAUAAUUUGAGCUGCUCAAAACCAAAAAAAAAAAAAAAAUGCUCAGCUGAAAUGAACACUGAUGGUUUACCCAUUAUAUUCUAUCCAAAUCUCAUUAAUAUGGUAUCUCAGAGAUAACAGAUAGGAAGAUUACAAAGAGAAAUACAAAUAGAAGAAGGUUGUAGGUAAAAGGCUGAUUUCAUUGAAAUUUGCUGUGGAAAAUGGUCAAGUUGAUAAUAACUUAGUUUAUGAAUAUUAUUUCUUUACCUUUGUAGGUGAAUCAGUAUCAUUUUGGAAGAGAACUGAGACAUUGAUCAAGAGAAAAAGACUCCGAGAGGCUGAGUUUACAAAACAGAUGGAAAUUCAAAGAUCCAGGUCAUGUCAUCUGAUCCAAUGCCAACUAGCGAGUGUGAGACAUAACUUCAAACCUGCAGCAUCUAUGUUUACUCUCUAU